UGGCGAACGGGUGAGUAACGCGUGAGGAACCUGCCUCAUACAGGGGGAUAACAGUUAGAAAUGACUGCUAAUACCGCAUAAGACCACGGAGCCGCAUGGCUCAGUGGGAAAAACUCCGGUGGUAUGAGAUGGACCCGCGUCUGAUUAGGUAGUUGGUGGGGUAACGGCCUACCAAGUCAACGAUCAGUAGCCGACCUGAGAGGGUGACCGGCCACAUUGGGACUGAGACACGGCCCAA
rnacentral:rRNA from 1 species